UACGAAGGGGGCUAGCGUUGCUCGGAAUCACUGGGCGUAAAGCGCACGUAGGCGGACUCUUAAGUCAGGGGUGAAAUCCUGGAGCUCAACUCCAGAACUGCCUUUGAUACUGGGAGUCUUGAGUUCGGGAGAGGUGAGUGGAACUGCGAGUGUAGAGGUGAAAUUCGUAGAUAUUCGCAAGAACACCAGUGGCGAAGGCGGCUCACUGGCCCGAUACUGACGCUGAGGUGCGAAAGCGUGGGGAGCAACAGGGAU
rnacentral:rRNA from 1 species